rnacentral:rRNA from 1 species
UACGAAGGGGGCUAGCGUUGCUCGGAAUCACUGGGCGUAAAGGGUGCGUAGGUGGUGACGUAAGUCGGAUGUGAAAUCUCGGAGCUUAACUCCGAAACUGCAUUCGAUACUGCCGUGCUUGAGGACUGGAGAGGAGACUGGAAUUUACGGUGUAGCGGUGAAAUGCGUAGAUAUCGUAAGGAAGACCAGUGGCGAAGGCGGGUCUCUGGACAGUUCCUGACGCUGAGGCACGAAGGCCAGGGGAGCAAACCGGG